GAAAGCGGGGGCUCCUGUUCUUCGGAAUGGGACCUCGCGCUAUCAGAUGAGCCUGCGUUAGAUUAGCUAGUUGGURGGGUAAAGGCCUACCAAGGCGACGAUCUAUAGCUGGUCUGAGAGGACGAUCAGCCACACUGGGACUGAGACACGGCCCAGACUCCUACGGGAGGCAGCAGUGGGGAAUAUUGGACAAUGGGCGCAAGCCUGAUCCAGCAAUACCGCGUGUGUGAAGAAGGCCCUMGGGUUGUAAAGCACUUUCAACGGGGAGGAAAACCUGCCGGCCAAUACCCGGCGGCUUGA
rnacentral:rRNA from 1 species